AUAAAAGCGAAGAAUGUGUUAGUAGAUAAUUGUAUUUCUUUCAGAGAGAAGAAGUCACCGGCUGUAAGCUUCUUUAAGUUCAGGCAAUUAUUGAAUUUCCCACAGGAGCUGCAUAUUGGAAUAGUAGAUUUAUUAGAUGACUGCUUAGUAUAGUAUGCCGGGUAAUGACCGUUAUUCAUGAAAGAGAGCUUAUUGUAUAUGCGAUAAGAAGCAGGGUGGUACCGCGGAUUAGAAUAUUUCGUCCCUUAU
rnacentral:ncRNA from 1 species